GGCAAAGUCACAUUCAGGGCUCUGCAUGCAGAGGUGCUGGCUAGUGGGUUGGGCUGCAUCGUCUGCCCCUUGCAGCUGUUUUUGCUCCCUUGUUGCAGCAGGAUGAAGUACCCUGUCACCUGCAGUUUAACACACUCGUAGCAACAUAUGCUAUGUUGAGACAAUUAAAAAUGAAUUUAUAAAGGUUCUGAUACAAUGUCAGCAAAGGCCAAUGUAAGAGCAACGUGAUGGAAGGCACGGAGCAAUACCCCCUGUAUAAAGAUAUAGGAUGCCAGAGUCCCACAUGUGGCUUGGCUGCAUACAUGCUAUGUAUGACUUGGGCAAGCCAGAAAUGAGUGUAAAGUGGGUUUCAAAGUGCCCAGGAAUGAAGAGGAAUGCAGAACAUGAAGCAGUGAGAAUGGAGCAGGGGGCAGAGAGAUGCAAGAUACUGGUGCAGAUCCUGAGCUAACAGCAGCAUACCAUGGUUGUCUGAAAGCAGGGAUAGAGAAAGAGCUGUACAGAAAGCAGAACUCAUCAUUGUGUGUAAGCCUGCAUGCAGCUAUGCACUCCAAGAUGUUAACCCUGUUUUUUGAAGUACUACCAGUCUACUAAAUUCAGCAAGCGACUGAGUUUCCUGUCUAGGAGUUAUGUCAAUCAAAUUGAAAUGCAUAUUACAAAUUAGUGAAUGCAAAUUCAUUCACUGCCAGAUGAUACUUUUGUUCAGAUUAACAUGUGCCCCUCCCCAAUCACAGUGAUUCAUGAUAGUUGUAUCUCUCAUACUUUCUUUAUUUUGUUAUUAGCUCUUGUGGUUCUGUAACAUGUAAGAUAUCAGUCCCUUGAUAUCUGAGUUCCGUACCUGGAUAAUAAAUGAAGAAAAUUUUAAAUUCAGUGCUUUUUCAAAUAGAUAAAAAUAGAAGCACUGUACUGACUAUUCUGUCUGUUUUAAAACAGUGCUUGGUUGCAAAACUGACAGAUUGCUCUAAUCUCAUUGAGCAUGUAAGCAAAUACUCAGCUUUACUCUUGCUAAGCAAGAACUGUUUUUCGAGACUGAAGAUGACAAGCACUUCAACCAUUCACGUUCCCACAGAACUUCCAGUGCACACCAAAUUGUAAUGAAGUUUUAUGAAAUUUUUAAUGAAAUUACGAUGAC
rnacentral:lncRNA from 7 species